GGAGUUAGCCGGUGCUUCUUCUGUGAGUGAUGUCCUUCCUGCCGGCUAUUAACCCGCAGGCCUUCUUCCUCACUGAAAGUGCUUUACAACCCGAAGGCCUUCUUCACACACGCGGCAUGGCUGGAUCAGGGUUGCCCCCAUUGUCCAAUAUUCCCCACUGCUGCCUCCCGUAGGAGUCUGGGCCGUGUCUCAGUCCCAGUGUGGCUGAUCAUCCUCUCAGACCAGCUACGGAUCGUCGCCUUGGUGAGCCGUUACCUCACCAACCAGCUAAUCCGACAUAGGCUCAUCCGAUAGCGCGAGGCCCGAAGGUCCCCCGNUUUCCCCCGUAGGGAGUAUGCGGUAUUAGCCUGGGUUUCCCCAGGUUAUCCCCCACUACCGGGCAGAUUCCUAUGCAUUACUCACCCGUCCGCCGCUCGCCACCAGGGAGCAAGCUCCCCGUGCUGCCGCUCGACUUGCAUGUGUUAGGCCUGCCGCCAGCGUUCAAUCUGAGCCAGAAUCAAACUCUGA
rnacentral:rRNA from 1 species